CGACUCUACCGCAACCGCCAGGUAACCCCAACUCCCAAACUCUAAAACCCAACAAGGCCAAAUUCUAUGACUUCUCCCAAUCACCCAGCGGAUACAGCCACCGCCAUUACGGUGCAACCGUCAUCGCCGAGAUUCCUGAUCAGCGGAUCCUCCAACCCCGGUGACCAACGUAAGAUCGGGAUAGCCGUCGAUCUUAGCGACGAAAGCGCCUUUGCCGUCAAAUGGGCCGUCCAUAACUAUCUGCGUCCCGGUGACUCCGUCAUCCUCCUCCACGUCCGACCCACCGGUGUCCUCUAUGGCGCCGACUGGGGUGCCAUCGACCUCUCCCGCCACGACGAGCUUUCCCAGCAGAAGCUCGAGCACGACUUCGACGCCUUCACCGUCACCAAGGCCAACGACCUCGCCCAGCCCUUCGUCCACGCCCAAAUCCCCUUCAAGAUUCACAUCGUCAAGGACCACGACAUGAAGGAGCGCCUCUGUCUCGAGGUCGAGCGCCUCGGCCUCAGCACCGUCAUCAUGGGUAGUCAAGGUUUCGGCGCCUCACGCCGCGCCACCAAGGGCAGGCUCGGUAGUGUCAGCGAUUAUUGCGUGCACCACUGCGUCUGUCCCGUCGUCGUUGUCCGGUUCCCGGACGAGAAGGAUGGGGCCGAGACAAAUCACGGUCUAGUAGCAAAGGCUUGUGUGGACGAUGAGCUGGAGUACCAUAAUGCAUUGGAUAAGCAAACUGAUGUGGACAAAGCCUCGUGAAUAGAUAUGGUGGGGAUGCUAAUGUGUUCCUCGGAAGAUGUUUGACUGUUGAAACUUGAAAUACUCUUGCUUGGUGUGUAGUCUUGUCUUGUGAAAAAGUUGGUCUUCCAGAAUGAUAGGCUGCACUCUAUUCUUGUUAUAUAGAAUUUUCCUUUUGGAGCCCUUUUGCUGGUUACCUCAUGCUUUCAGUUUUACAACAUCGAGAAGAAAAUAUAAUUUUGAUAUGGUUGUACUUGUCGCUGCUCCUUUUUGAACAAAUAGCAAGAUGUGGAGACAAACUUCCUUAUGGUGGUAAUAUUUGAUGCAAUUUCAUGGGAAAAGAAAGAGGUUUUCAUAAACUGUUACAAAUACUCCAAGCAGUUCAAACAUUUAGGACAUGUUUUGUUCACGGAAUGACAAUUCCUAGGAAUGGAAUAGCCAUUCUUAUUCCUUAGUUUGGUUGUAACAUUAGAAUAGAGCAUAGAAUAUAUGUUAUUACUUUGUUUGGUAUACAAUUUGGUGGAGAAUGGAAUCAUAUUGUAACCAAGUUUUGUACUUAUAAAAAUACCCUUGAGGGAAAAGAUCAGGAAUAUGCCUACAGUGGCAAUGAUAAAUGUCACAUAAAUUUGGCUUAUUCCAUUUAAGGUAAAUAUGAAAAGUUAAAUGUUGUAGAGACUUGUA